UAGGGAAUAUUCCACAAUGGGCGAAAGCCUGAUGGAGCGACACAGCGUGCAGGAUGACAGUCUUCGGAUUGUAAACUGCUGUUAUACAGAAAGAAAAGAUAAAGGAGUGGAAAGCCUUUAUUAUGACGGUACUGUAUCAGAAAGUGACGGCAAACUAUGUGCCAGCAGCCGCGGUAAUACAUAGGUCACAAGCGUUAUCCGGAAUUAUUGGGCGUAAAGCGUCCGUAGGUUGAUUGUUAAGUCUGAAGUUAAAGCCCGGUGCUCAACGCCGGUUCGCUUUAGAUACUGGCAAACUAGAGUUAUAGAGAGGUUAGUGGAAUUUCAUGUGAAGCGGUGGAAUGCGUAGAUAUAUGAAAGAACACCAAUGGCGAAGGCAGCUAACUGGCUAUAUACUGACACUGAGGGACGAAAGCGUGGGGAGCAAACA
rnacentral:rRNA from 1 species